UACGAAGGGGGCUAGCGUUGCUCGGAAUCACUGGGCGUAAAGGGUGCGUAGGCGGGUCUUUAAGUCAGGGGUGAAAUCCUGGAGCUCAACUCCAGAACUGCCUUUGAUACUGAGGAUCUUGAGUUCGGGAGAGGUGAGUGGAACUGCGAGUGUAGAGGUGAAAUUCGUAGAUAUUCGCAAGAACACCAGUGGCGGAAGGCGGAGCUCGCCUGGCCC
rnacentral:rRNA from 1 species